AAACAGCACACGAAUAUUACAGGAACUUUUGUAGAGAAAACAGAACAUCACCAACAGACCAUAACACAAAACUGGAAAUUAAUCACAAAAAAGCCAGUCAAAACUUCCAAUAACUUAUGGAUGGAAGAAG
rfam:Tursiops truncatus cont1.397985, whole genome shotgun sequence.